UCUCGAUAGCGUAAAAGUUAGGUCGAUUUUGUAUGGAGUUGGAACGUCUGCCUAGGUUUGCCGCUAGGGGCGCUGAUCCAACUGCAUUAAAAUUUGAGUGAAUUUUUACGCUAUCGA
rnacentral:pre_miRNA from 9 species